CUCAUGCUGGAUGCGCGCGCUCCUUGGGCGCAACUGCCCAGCGCAAAACGGGCCCCGAAAGCAGGUGAGUGGAGGACACUUCAAUCUAAAGUGAUCUUAAAGGAGGAGUAGUAGGAUUUGAAGAUGAAGAAAGAAGAGGGGAGGUAAAUUACUUUCCAUCACUUCAAUUUCAACCCAUCAGAUAAAACCUCUCUUUAGUAAACCUGCAUGUGGGUGGAGCUGUAACAGCAAUUAAGGACAGUGUGACUCUGUUCUUCUGACUUUGGGAAAACCAGUUUGGCUGGAACAAAAAGCUGAUAGAGAAGACUAAUGGAAGAUAAGGUUGAAAAGGUUAAAAAAUGGAGGCAACAGCUGGGUACAGUGGCUCACUCCUGUAAUUCCAGCACUUUAGGAGGCCAAGGUAGGCAGAUCACUUGAGAAAAAGAGUUCGAGACCAGCCUGGGCAACAUAGUGAGACCCUCUCUCUCAAAAAAAAUAGCCAAGUGUGAUGAUGGACACCUGUAACCCCAACUACUUCAGAGACUGAGGCAGGAGGAUCACUUGAGCCUAGGAGGUCAAGGCUGCAGUGAGCUGUGAUUGGGCCACUGCACUCCAGCCUGGGUGACACAGAGAGACCUCUCUAAAAAAUAAAAAAAUAAAAAAAAUGGAAGCACAGAAAACUAUACCUUUUCUAGCUCAACUUUACCACAUUGAUGAAAAAGUAUUGAGCAGCCACAGGUACAUGACAUUCCACUAUGUUC
rnacentral:lncRNA from 1 species